GGCGGACGGGUGAGUAAUACUUAGGAAUCUGCCCAGUAGUGGGGGACAACUUUCGGAAACGGAUGCUAAUACCGCAUACGCACUACGGUGGAAAGUGGGGGACCUUCGGGCCUCACGCUAUUGGAUGAGCCUAAGUCGGAUUAGCUUGUUGGUGAGGUAAUAGCUCACCAAGGCGACGAUCCGUAGCUGGUCUGAGAGGACGAUCAGCCACACUGGGACUGAGACACGGCCCAGACUCCUACGGGAGGCAGCAGUGGGGAAUAUUGGACAAUGGGCGCAAGCCUGAUCCAGCAAUGCCGCGUGUGUGAAGAAGGCCUGCGGGUUGUAAAGCACUUUCAGUAGAGAAGAAAAGCCUAGGGUUAAUACCCCUGAGUCUUGACGUAACCUACAGAAGAAGCACCGGCUAACUCCGUGCCAGCAGCCGCGGUAAUACGGAGGGUGCGAGCGUUAAUCGGAAUUACUGGGCGUAAAGCGCGCGUAGGCGGUUUUGUAAGUCGGAUGUGAAAGCCCCGGGCUUAACCUGGGAAUUGCAUUCGAUACUGCUUAACUAGAGUAUGGUA
rnacentral:rRNA from 1 species